rnacentral:rRNA from 2 species
AACGACUCUCGGCAACGGAUAUCUCGGCUCUCGCAUCGAUGAAGAACGUAGCGAAAUGCGAUACUUGGUGUGAAUUGCAGAAUCCCGUGAACCAUCGAGUCUUUGAACGCAAKUUGCGCCCGAAGCCAUUAGGCCGAGGGCACGCCUGCCUGGGCGUCACACGUC